rnacentral:misc_RNA from 1 species
GGUCAACUCCUAGCUGUUCCAAACUUUCAGUUGUGGACAGGCUAAACCCAAGUUCAUCCUUUGUACUGAGUUGCUUUUGAGUUUGCUUUUUAUUAACAAUAAUUAAUGGAAACACCAGAUGAAACUUCAAGACUUGACUAUUAUGGGGCGUUUUCUCAUGCAAUUGAUGUGAAAGAUCUCAAACCUGGUGACCAUAUUUACUGUCAUAGAAGUGCCUUAUUUUUCUACAGUCAUCAUGGCAUUUAUGUUGGUGAGCCUGACUGUGAGGUGAUUCACUUCAGUGGUAUACCAGACUCCAAGAUUGGGUCAUCAUCAGAUUCGUCCUUGGAUGAUGAAACAAAGCUGUUGCUACAAGAGCUUCAAACAUUACCAAAAGAUUCCAAAAGGGCUAAAGAAAUUGAGAAGAAAUUAAAAAUAUGCAUUAAAUCAACUACUCUGGCUGAAUUUCAGUAUGGCUCUACCCUUCGCUUAGUCGCAUAUGGCUGCAGUGGAACCAAACAAUUUUUUGCUAUGGUUAGUAGUCACUGUGUGAAGGUAAUGCCUUCUUCAGAAACAGUUAAGUUAGCCAAACAUUUUCGUGAUCAUCCAGAAAAGUGGAAUGAAUAUCACCUUAGAUAUAACAACUGUGAAACAUUUGCGACAUUCUGCAAAACAGGCCGGUUGGAUUUAGCAGCACAGCUUUACCAACUUGUGAGAAACGUGUUUACUGAAUGGAAGAUGGGGCCAACAUGUCAGACAGCUGAAGAAGUAUUGACAAAAUAUCAGGUAGAAGAUGAUUCAGCAAUCAGAGUUGGGGUAAUGUCUCAUGCAAUUGAUAAAGAGCAUCUUAAACCUGGUGAUCAGGUUUAUUGCUAUAGAAACAUCUGCACUCAUCAUGGUAUUUAUAUUGGUGAGCCUGAUUGUGAGGUGAUUCACUUUAGUGGUGCAUCACGCAUCAAUUCAACUACUCUGGCUGAAUUUCAGUAUGGCUCUACACUUCGCUUAGUUGCAUAUGGCUGCAGUGGAACCAAACAAUUCUUUGCAGCAGCCAUGAUUAGUACUCACUGCAUAAAGGCAAUGCCUCCUUCAGAAACAGUUAAGUUGGCAAAACAUUUUCGUGAUCAUCCAGAGGAGUGGGAGGAAUAUCACCUCAAACAUAACAACAGUGAAACGUUUGCUUGCUUCUGCAAAACAGGCCUGCAGGAUAUAGCAGCACAGUUUUAUCAGUUUGAGAGAAGCGUGUUUACUGAAAAGGAUAAAGAACCCUGUAAAACAUUUGAAAAAGCGUUGGAAAAAUAUCGUGAGAAACCUUGAUGCAGCUACAAAACUCAAUGCACUGCUGUGUGAACAUUAGUAUACAUUGGAGCAUUGUUUUAGAGAGCUGCUUAAUGAACUUAAAAAGAAACAAUAAAGUGAGAAAGCAGGUCUCAUGCAAAAUAUUGAUGUAGUGAGAGUUGGAUAUGUAUCUCAUGCAAUUGAUGAGAAGAAUCUGAAGCCUAAGGAUCAGUUAUUUAGUUGGUUGAAAUGAAGGGUAUGGCUGACCGUAUCACUAGCAUGAGAACAUCACUGAAAGAAGCACUAGCUAAACAUAGUUCAACUCUGGAC